rnacentral:rRNA from 1 species
UACGGAGGGUGCGAGCGUUGUCCGGAAUCAUUGGGCGUAAAGGGCGCGUAGGUGGCCCGGUCAGUCUUUGGUGAAAGCGCGGGGCUCAACCCUGCGUCGGCCAGGGAUACUGCCGCGGCUCGAGCACUGUAGAGGCAGGCGGAAUUCCGGGGUGUAGCGGUGGAAUGCGUAGAGAUCCGGAAGAACACCGGUGGCGAAGGCGGCCUGCUGGGCAGUUUAGCUGACACUGAGGCGCGACAGCGUGGGGAGCAAACAGGG